GAUGAACGCUGGCGGCGUGCCUAAUACAUGCAAGUCGAGCGAACGGACGAGAAGCUUGCUUUUCUGAUGUUAGCGGCGGACGGGUGAGUAACACGUGGAUAACCUACCUAUAAGACUGGGAUAACUUCGGGAAACCGGAGCUAAUACCGGAUAAUCUUUUGAACCGCAUGGUUCAAAAGUGAAAGACGGUCUUGCUGUCACUUAUAGAUGGAUCCGCGCUGCAUUAGCUAGUUGGUAAGGUAACGGCUUACCAAGGCAACGAUGCAUAGCCGACGUGAGAGGGUGAUAGGCCACACUGGAACUGAGACACGGUCCAGACUCCUACGGGAGGCAGCAGUAGGGAAUCUUCCGCAAUGGGCGAAAGCCUGACGGAGCAACGCCGCGUGAGUGAUGAAGGUCUUCGGAUCGUAAAACUCUGUUAUUAGGGAAGAACAUAUGUGUAAGUAACUGUGCACAUCUUGACGGUACCUAAUCAGAAAGCCACGGCUAACUACGUG
rnacentral:rRNA from 1 species